GCGGAGGAAAAGAAACCAACAGGGAUUGCCUUAGUAACGGCGAGUGAAGCGGCAACAGCUCAAAUUUGAAAUCUGGCCCUCGGGUCCGAAUUGUAAUUUGUAGAGGAUGCUUUUGGUGCGGUGCCUUCUGAGUUCCUUGGAACAGGACGCCUUAGAGGGUGAGAGCCCCGUACAGUUGGACACCAAGCCUUUGUAAAGCUCCUUCGACGAGUCGAGUAGUUUGGGAAUGCUGCUCUAAAUGGGAGGUAAAUUUCUUCUAAAGCUAAAUAUUGGCCAGAGACCGAUAGCGCACAAGUAGAGUGAUCGAAAGAUGAAAAGUACUUUGAAAAGAGGGUUAAAUAGCACGUGAAAUUGUUGAAAGGGAAGCGUUUAUGACCAGACCUUCGUCGGGCGGAUCAUCCGGUGUUCUUCACCGGUGCACUUCGCCCGGCUUAGGCCAGCAUCGGUUUUCGUAGGGGGAUAAAGGCCUAGGGAAUGUGGCUCCCUCCGGGGAGUGUUAUAGCCCUGGGCGUAAUACCUUUAUGGGGACCGAGGUUCGCGCUCCGGCAAGGAUGCUGGCGUAAUGGUCAUCAACGACCCGUCUUGAAACACGGACCAAGGAGUCGAACAUUUAUGCGAGUGUUUGGGUGUUAAACCCUUGCGCGUAAUGAAAGUGAACGUAGGUGAGAGCCCGUACGGGUGCAUCAUCGACCGAUCUUGAUGUUUUCGGAUGGAUUUGAGUAAGAGCAUAACUGUUCGGACCCGAAAGAUGGUGAACUAUGCGUGGAUAGGGUGAAGCCAGAGGAAACUCUGGUGGAGGCUCGCAGCGGUUCUGACGUGCAAAUCGAUCGUCAAAUCUGCGCAUGGGGGCGAAAGACUUAUCGAACCAUCUAGUAGCUGGUUA
rnacentral:sRNA from 1 species